ACUAAAGUCUUCGACUGCCUUUCCCUUAAAGAUUCCGCCUUUAAAGAAAGCAAAAUGGAUUGAAUAUUUCUGGUUUGAAAAAGAGGCGGAGAGGAAGAAAAGGACCAGUGCAGUGAAGAAAAUCUUGAGAAUUUCUACUGAAUGCCUGCCUGCGAUGCUCUUUCCAUCUCUGGAAUUGUGUCCUACCUACGUACAAAGCCAUUACGUAGAGGGUUUAAAGAGUCUUUGAUGGGGAGGUGUGUCUGUGAGGCGCAAGAUGAUGGGAUGGUGAUGAGAUGUGAUCCACCAAAAAGGUAAAAAAUAUUAAAUUUACUGACAACAAACUAUUUCACAUCUUGUUCCUUCUGGUCUCUUUCAUUGGCUUUAUAGAUCGAGAGGGUCUCUUAACUCUAAACUUAAAACAAAGGCUUUGCUUGGAAGGAACGUCUUCCUUGGUAAGUAAAAGGUGGUAAAGGGAAGUUCAAGGCGCUUAGGCAGGCGUGUUGCAGGCAGAUAUUACCACAUGCAUGUAUACAGACAAACACUUGGUGUAUGAGCAUGUCCAAAGAAUAUGACGCAUUCUAUACGGCAAUCGUACACUUGGUGACAUGUCGCUUUCCUCUCUGGUGUUUUUGUGUUCUGCUGUAGUUUGAUGCUGCUUCUGCUUGCAGUUGCAUUUGGGGGAGGGUGGAGAAGAAAAUCUAUCUCAUGUCACGUGACCGUCACGUGAAUAAAGUACUUUGAAACUCAAAUCA